rnacentral:rRNA from 1 species
CUUCGGGUUGUAAACCUCUUUUACCACCAACGCAGGCUCGAAGUUCUCUUCGGGUUGACGGUAGGUGGGGAAUAAGGACCGGCUAACUACGUGCCAGCAGCCGCGGUAAAUACGUAGGGUCCCGAGCGUUGUCCGGAAUUAUUGGGCGUAAAGAGCUCGUAGGCGGCGUGUCGCGUCUGCUGUGAAAGACCGGGGCUUAACUCCGGUUCUGCAGUGGAUACGGGCAUGCUAGAGGUAGGUAGGGGAGACUGGAAUUCCUGGUGUAGCGGUGAAAUGCGCAGAUAUCAGGAGGAACACCGGUGGCGAAGGCGGGUCUCUGGGCCUUACCUGACGCUGAGGAGCGAAAGCAUGGGGAGCGAACAGGAUUAGAUACCCUGGUAGUCCAUGCCGUAAACGUUGGGCGCUAGGUGUGGGGACUUUCCACGGUUUCCGCGCCGUAGCUAACGCAUUAAGCGCCCCGCCUGGGGAGUACGGCCGCAAGGCUAAAACUCAAAGGAAUUGACGGGGGCCCGCACAAGCGGCGGAGCAUGUUGCUUAAUUCGACGCAACGCGAAGAACCUUACCAAGGUUUGACAUCACCCGUGGACUCGCAGAGAUGUGAGGUCAUUUAGUUGGCGGGUGACAGGUGGUGCAUGGCUGUCGUCAGCUCGUGUCGUGAGAUGUUGGGUUAAGUCCCGCAACGAGCGCAACCCUUGUUCCAUGUUGCCAGCACGUAAUGGUGGGGACUCAUGGGAGACUGCCGGGGUCAACUCGGAGGAAGGUGGGGAUGACGUCAAGUCAUCAUGCCCCUUAUGUCUUGGGCUGCAAACAUGCUACAAUGGCCGGUACAAUGGGCGUGCGAUACCGUAAGGUGGAGCGAAUCCCUAAAAGCCGGUCUCAGUUCGGAUUGGGGUCUGCAACUCGACCCCAUGAAGGUGGAGUCGCUAGUAAUCGCGGAUCAGCAACGCCGCGGUGAAUACGUUCCCGGGCCUUGUACACACCGCCCGUCACGUCAUGAAAGUCGGCAACACCCGAAACUUGCGGCCUAACCC